rnacentral:rRNA from 1 species
AGUCGAGCGGAUGACAGGAGCUUGCUCCUGAAUUCAGCGGCGGACGGGUGAGUAAUGCCUAGGAAUCUGCCUGGUAGUGGGGGACAACGUUUCGAAAGGAACGCUAAUGCCGCAUACGUCCUACGGGAGAAAGCAGGGGACCUUCGGGCCUUGCGCUAUCAGAUGAGCCUAGGUCGGAUUAGCUAGUUGGUGAGGUAAUGGCUCACCAAGGCGACGAUCCGUAACUGGUCUGAGAGGAUGAUCAGUCACACUGGAACUGAGACACGGUCCAGACUCCUACGGGAGGCAGCAGUGGGGAAUAUUGGACAAUGGGCGAAAGCCUGAUCCAGCCAUGCCGCGUGUGUGAAGAAGGUCUUCGGAUUGUAAAGCACUUUAAGUUGGGAGGAAGGGUUGUAGAUUAAUACUCUGCAAUUUUGACGUUACCGACAGAAUAAGCACCGGCUAACUCUGUGCCAGCAGCCGCGGUAAUACAGAGGGUGCAAGCGUUAAUCGGAAUUACUGGGCGUAAAGCGCGCGUAGGUGGUUUGUUAAGUUGGAUGUGAAAGCCCCGGGCUCAACCUGGGAACUGCAUUCAA